GACGAACGCUGGCGGCGUGCUUAACACAUGCAAGUCGAAGCGGUAAGGCCCCCUCGGGGGUACACGAGCGGCGAACGGGUGAGUAACACGUGGGUAACCUGCCCCACACACUGGGAUAAGCCUGGGGAAACCGGGUCUAAUACCGGAUAUGACCUACUCCCGCAUGGGGGUGGGUGAAAGCUCCGGCGGUGUGGGAUGGGCCCGCGGCCUAUCAGCUUGGUUGGUGGGGGUAGUGGCCUACCAAGGCGACGACGGGGUAGCCGGCCNGAGAGGGUGUCCGCCACACUGGGACUGAGAUACGGCCAGACUCCUACGGGAGGCAGCAGUGGGGAAUAUUGCGCAAUGGGCGAAAGCCUGACGCAGCGACGCCGCGUGA
rnacentral:rRNA from 1 species